AUUUCCAGUGCGUUUUUCGGUAAAAUCCGCCGACGGAACGCGAUUUCGGUUCUGAGUUCUUCCGACGGUGCCUCACUGUGAUUUACGUUGUCGCUGAGCCUUAUUGGCUGGUCACCUGCAUCGUUUCAAGGGUUCGAAGAUGACGGGUGAGCGACUGUGGGUUCCGGUGUCAAAAUUGAUACUUCCGGGAACCCGGAUCGGAACGAUUAUCCGACGAUAAUCGUUUCGAUGUGAGUAUACGUGUUUGCUGCCAGGACACCUUAAUUAUAGUGUUGGGUGGCAGCGGUUGACUCGUGGCAUGAGUCGGUGAGUUCCGGGGCACUUCGUGGGUCCCGACGGAGUCCCGGGGCGAUUUUCGGGACUUUCGGCGAGUUACGGUAAUCGGUUUUGGAAAACCGAUCCCCGUGGGAUUAUUUGUGGGGUUGUGGAUUUUAGUGUUCUUUGUUUGUGGGUUAGAUACUAACCCGGUGGACCCUCCGUAGGUCCGGUUGAUGAUUUUCCACAGUCGGGAUACAUGCAAGUUAUUCGUACAGGUGGGUACUUCAACCCGAAAUCGGUACAGUGGUGUACGCUCAGUGACAUUUCCUUCACUCUUUUCUUAUUAUUACCUUGCGUGUUAUAUGUUGAGUCUAGCACCUAUACCAUAUCUCUUUAUUGCUAUACUUGGAUAGUUUGCAUACCCAGUAUCAUGGUUUAGAAGUAGAGCGGUUUUGUG
rnacentral:lncRNA from 1 species